CUCCGAUCACUGACCUAUGAAUUCAAUGGAGUGAGUAUUUCCUGCCAGAGUCAAACAGAAACCACCACAGUUCAAUGGAUGGAUCCAGAACACAGGCUAGAAGUCCUCUGGGAAAUUGAAGUUGGGAUGUUAACUCUGCCUCUGCAACCUGCCAGAGAAAGGAACAUUAAGAUGUGGAUGCUCUCAAGUGACCAGGUCUGUGACAUCGCUGGCCCUGUCGACCACCAACCCACAAAAACCUUUGACCCUGAGCAAUAGAAGCCCAAACACUAUUUCAUCUACCCCAACCUCAUUCCUUCUCCAAAUCCCCAAUGUGUUGUAUCUAAAAUACACAAGCAAUAUAUGUGAG